rnacentral:rRNA from 1 species
AAUAGCGUAUAUUAAAGUUGUUGCAGUUAAAAAGCUCGUAGUUGAAUUUCGGAAUCUGUCCGUCGGUCGGGCUUCACUGUCCGUACUGGUGUGAUGGGUUUCUACCUUCUGAAUAAUCGGCAUGUCAUUAAUUUGGUGCGCCGGGGAAGCAGAACUAUUACCUUGAAAAAAUUAGAGUGUUUAAAGCAGGC